GACAGAGGGUGCAACCGUUGUUCGGAAUUACUGGGCGUAAAGCGCGUGUCGGCUGUUCGGAAAGUCGGAUGUGAAAGCCCUGGGCUUAACCCAGGAAUUGCAUUCGAAACUCCCGAACUCGAGUCCUGGAGAGGAAGGCGGAAUUCUCGGUGUAGAGGUGAAAUUCGUAGAUAUCGAGAGGAACAUCGGUGGCGAAGGCGGCCUUCUGGACAGUGACUGACGCUGAGACGCGAAAGCGUGGGGAGCAAACAGG
rnacentral:rRNA from 1 species